UACGUAGGUGGCAAGCGUUGUCCGGAUUUACUGGGCGUAAAGAGCGCGCAGGCGGUCGUUCAAGUCGCGUGUGAAAGCCCCCGGCUCAACUGGGGAGGGUCACGCGAUACUGAUCGACUCGAAGGCAGGAGAGGGAAGUGGAAUUCCCGGUGUAGCGGUGAAAUGCGUAGAGAUGUGGAGGAACACCUGUGGCGAAGGCGCCUUGCUGGCCGAUUUCUGACGCUGAGGCGCGAAAGCGUGGGGAGCAAACAGG
rnacentral:rRNA from 1 species